CAAUAGCGUAUAUUAAAGUUGUUGCAGUUAAAAAGCUCGUAGUUGGAUUUCUGGUAGGAGCGACCGUGCCGAACUUGAUUGUUCGAGUAUUGUGUUGUCUUCAGCCAUCCUCGUGGAGAACUUUUCUAACAUUAACUUGUUGGGAUUGGGACCCGCGUCGUUUACUGUGAAAAAAUUAGAGUGUUCAAAGCAGGCAUUAGCUUGAAUACAUUAGCAUGGAACAAUAAGAUAGGACUUUGGUACUAUUUUGUUGGUUUGCAUACCAAAUUAAUGAUCAACAGGAACAGUUUGAGGAUAUUCGUAUGAACAUGUCAGAGGUGAAAUUCUUGGAUUUUGAUCAGACGAACUACUGCGAAAGCAUUUAUCAAGGAUGUUUUCAUUAA
rnacentral:rRNA from 1 species